AAACACAAGCACAGAGAGAUUGAAAGAGAGAAAAUGCUGCUGCGAUCAUAAGUGUAUUCCCUCCUCUAGCUUAAACUUAAUUUUCUGUUUAGAGAGGAGAGUGAGUGCUAGCAAGGGUUAUCUCUUAAACCCGGUAAAAGGAGAAGAGGGGUGUAAAAGGUGAUUGACCUUCGCCUAUUAAAGGAAGGCCUCUAGUGAACCACAGUGAUCUCGUCG
rnacentral:lncRNA from 1 species